rnacentral:rRNA from 1 species
AGCGAACGCUGGCGGCAGGCUUAACACAUGCAAGUCGAACGCACCCUUCGGGGUGAGUGGCAGACGGGUGAGUAACACGUGGGAAUGUACCUUUCGGUUCGGAACAACUCCGGGAAACUGGAGCUAAUACCGGAUAAGCCCUUACGGGGAAAGAUUUAUCGCCGAAAGAUCAGCCCGCGUCCGAUUAGCUAGUUGGUGGGGUAAUGGCCCACCAAGGCGACGAUCGGUAGCUGGUCUGAGAGGAUGAUCAGCCACACUGGGACUGAGACACGGCCCAGACUCCUACGGGAGGCAGCAGUGGGGAAUAUUGGACAAUGGGCGGCAAGCCUGAUCCAGCCAUGCCGCGUGAGUGAUGAAGGCCCUAGGGUUGUAAAGCUCUUUCGGCGGGGAAGAUAAUGACGGUACCCGCAGAAGAAGCCCCGGCUAACUUCGUGCCAGCAGCCGCAGU